rnacentral:sRNA from 1 species
GAUGUCAGGGGCAAAAAGUCAAAAACCACGAUGUGCUUGCACAGGAGUGGUUUUAUGACUUGUUGCCCCGCCCGGGCAUGAACAUAAAAGUGGAGCGGAGCUUCGCGAUAUGCGAAUGCCGGGCAGGAUUGUGAGAGUGCACAGCACGGAACAAUCCGUAUG